rnacentral:lncRNA from 1 species
AUGGAAAAGAGCACCCUUAGCAUUAGGUUAAUGCGAAACACUCAAUUGCAAAACGCUGGUGGCGUUCACCAGCUUUUUUUUUUUUUUUUUUCUCAAACGCAGGCAGGAAUUUUGGCAAGACAGAGUGCAAGUUUCUUUCAGAGAAGAUUUAGGUCCCUUCUUCCUGCUAGCCUCUCUUGGUUACAUAUAGAUAGAUAUACGUAUAUAAAAAAAAUCCGAGCACUAAAGAUGAACGAUCUCCUUAAAACAUCCGGAAAAAACCCUCAUUUGAAUCAAGAGCCUGCAGGGGGGAGGAGGGACGGGCUUUCCUCGGAGGCCACCGGCCAGCGACAGCAGCUUCGCGGCACGGCGCGGCGGGAGCGGGGCAGGUGCGGCGGGGCAGAGCCGGCGCCCGCCCCGGCGGAGCCCCCGGGAAGCGGCCGCGGCGCCGCCGGACCCUCUCCCCUGCCUCCGCACCCUCCCCCGCCGCCACUUCCUCUCGCCCUCCUCGCCGCCCCCUCGCCCCUCACCUCGGGGCCGAUCCUCCCGCCCGGCCCGGCCCGGCCCGGCCCCUCCCGCCUCGCCUCGCCGCCCGCCCCGCCGCCUCUCACCCUCGCGGGCUUUCAGCAGCACCGUGUUGGCCACGAUGUUCUCGAUUUCCAUGGCGGGGGGCUCCGUCCCCUCAGGGCAGCCGGCGCCGAGGCCGCCGCGGGGCUGCUCCCACUGCCUCCUUCGCCCCCUCCUCGGGCCCCGCCACCGCCGAGGCUCCGCUCAUCCGGCCCCGCAGGACCUCAGCGCCGCGCUCGCCUCUUCCCCAUCACCCGCUGCUCGCCCCGGCACCGGCCUCCCCCUCCCCGAGGGCGGAGGCAAGCAGCAGGCAGCGACCGCCCACCCCGGCCAUGGCUCGACCGCCCUCCUCCGCCCACCGCAGCCGGCUCCGCCUCUGCGCGCCUGUCCCGCCCCCGGCGCUCCUCCCCUUGGGACUACAACUACCAGCAGGCCUCGCGCCACGGUAACGCCGCCAGCGGGCGGCCGCACGGGGAGCGCGCCGCGCUCUGCACGCUGGGAUAUGUAGUGCUUUGA